CAAAAAAAGCAUAACCCUUUUCGUAUAAUCUCAAGAAUCGGCUUGAGAGUCUCUACUGGAUCACCGUAAAUGAUCAGGCUACGAGAAGAGUGGAACGGUGU
rnacentral:ncRNA from 2 species